rnacentral:snRNA from 1 species
AUACUUACCUUGACUGAUUGCGCGGAGAUCAAGAAAACCGCGUAGUACGGUGGUGAGCCUGCAUUGCACAUCGUGGUGCUCGCCGCCGUGAAUUGCCCUUCGGGGCCGUUCUGGUCGUAAUUUUUGAUGUC